GUUUUUUCACAUCUUAACAACUUUUUUUUAAAAAAAAAAACCAAUUUUUGGUUUUUGAAAACCUGAAAAACCGAAAUUGAAUUUUUGUUCCCAUCGUUAACGCCAUUUCCCCUGCUUCCCUAAAGAGUGGAUCUAUAAGAGAGAGGAGAAACCCUAGAAGUACGUUUUUAUACUGAUUUUGCCGAGAAACUACUGAUUUUGCCGAGAAACCUAAAUUUACAC
rnacentral:lncRNA from 1 species